AGAGUUUGUACCUGGCUCAGGACGAACGCUGGCGGCGUGCCUAAUACAUGCAAGUUGAGCGCUGAAGGUUGGUACUUGUACCGACUGGAUGAGCAGCGAACGGGUGAGUAACGCGUGGGGAAUCUGCCUUUGAGCGGGGGACAACAUUUGGAAACGAAUGCUAAUACCGCAUAAAAACUUUAAACACAAGUUUUAAGUUUGAAAGAUGCAAUUGCAUCACUCAAAGAUGAUCCCGCGUUGUAUUAGCUAGUUGGUGAGGUAAAGGCUCACCAAGGCGAUGAUACAUAGCCGACCUGAGAGGGUGAUCGGCCACAUUGGGACUGAGACACGGCCCAAACUCCUACGGGAGGCAGCAGUAGGGAAUCUUCGGCAAUGGACGAAAGUCUGACCGAGCAACGCCGCGUGAGUGAAGAAGGUUUUCGGAUCGUAAAACUCUGUUGGUAGAGAAGAACGUUGGUGAGAGUGGAAAGCUCAUCAAGUGACGGUAACUAC
rnacentral:rRNA from 1 species